GGUCCUGGAGGCGAACAGGUCCUGUAGAGAUGGCAGAUUGCAGCCAAUAGUGAAUAUUGAGACACUACAUUGUAUCAACUAUCUUGGGUUUGUGUCAAACGUAAUAAUAGCAUAGGUGCACAUUGUAACAGUGCUCGUUUAUAAGGUUACUGUUGAGAUAUGUCUUCUCAUCCAUUGUUUUUUUGUAUUAUAUUAUUAUUUGUAUUAUUUUGUGUUGCUAAUUUGUAUUCUUAUUUGUUUCAAUUAUGCCCAUUCUAUGUGUUAUGUAAGCUAAGGGCAAAUACACUUAUGGGACUCUUAAUUUGACCCCUGCUAAAUCUAUAAAACUCUUGUUUGUCUCCUGCGUUAUUAAAAACGUGUUUGAGUCUGCCACAGACACUGAUGCUCUGCCGGCGCUGUGAGAUAAGUAAGCUAAUAAACUCUUAAUAUAUGUUAGUAUUUUGAGUGA